GAAGAACGCUAGCUACAGGCUUAACACAUGCAAGUCGAGGGGUAACGAGAGGAAAGCUUGCUUUCCUUGUCGACGACCGGCGCACGGGUGAGUAACGCGUAUCCAACCUGCCCCCAACUAGGGAAUAACCUUGCGAAAGUAAGACUAAUACCCUAUAAUUUCCUCAGAUGACAUCUGACGAGGAAUAAAGAUUUAUCGGUUGUGGAUGGGGAUGCGUCUGAUUAGCUUGUUGGCGGGGUAACGGCCCACCAAGGCAACGAUCAGUAGGGGUUCUGAGAGGAAGGUCCCCCACAUUGGAACUGAGACACGGUCCAAACUCCUACGGGAAGCAGCAGUGAGGAAUAUUGGUCAAUGGGCGGAAGCCUGAACCAGCCAAGUAGCGUGCAGGAUGACGGCCCUAUGGGUUGUAAACUGCUUUUAUACAGGAAUAAAGUUAGCCACGUGUGGUUAUUUGUAGGUACUGUAUGAAUAAGGACCGGCUAAUUCCGUGCCAGCCGCCGCGGUAA
rnacentral:rRNA from 1 species